GCGAGACAAUCUGAUGCAUCAACGAAAGGGGUGACUGAGUCGUCAUAUGCUUAUGUGGUGGUGGUGUUUAUUUUAUUUUCAUGCUUUUCACGUUCCGAACUUUUUUCUCCAUCCUAGGCGUGGGCAGAGCUGUAACAUGAAAUUUGGCAGUAGACAAUUUUUUUGCCUCAUGUGAAUCUUACUGCCAUCCUGGUGAUGUGUACUUUAGGUAUUAUUAUAUAUAUUCCAUUUACCAUGUGAACUUGCUAGAAAGGUUGUGG
rnacentral:lncRNA from 1 species